UACGUAGGGUGCGAGCGUUAAUCGGAAUUACUGGGCGUAAAGCGUGCGUAGGCGGUUCGCUGUGUCCGAUGUGAAAGCCCCGGGCUUAACCUGGGAAUGGCAUUGGAAACUGGCGGGCUUGAGUGCGGCAGAGGGGGGUGGAAUUCCGCGUGUAGCAGUGAAAUGCGUAGAUAUCAGGAGGAAUACCGAUGGCGAAGGCAGGUCUCUGGGCUGACACUGACGCUCAUGCACGAAAGCGUGGGGAGCAAACAGG
rnacentral:rRNA from 1 species